UACGUAGGUGGCAAGCGUUGUCCGGAUUUACUGGGCGUAAAGAGCGCGCAGGCGGUCGUUCAAGUCGCGUGUGAAAGCCCCCGGCUCAACUGGGGAGGGUCACGCGAUACUGAUCGACUCGAAGGCAGGAGAGGGAAGUGGAAUUCCCGGUGUAGUGGUGAAAUGCGUAGAUAUCGGGAGGAACACCAGUGGCGAAGGCGACUUCCUGGCCUGUUCUUGACGCUGAGGCGCGAAAGCGUGGGGAGCGAACCGG
rnacentral:rRNA from 1 species